rnacentral:lncRNA from 1 species
CCUUAAUUCAGAGUUGACUUUGAUACCACUUUCAUUGCUUAAGUGGUGAAUGAGGGGCCACAGUUGUCAUCUCUAAAAAGCUUCAAUUUGGCUUCUGUUCCCUCAUGCCAUUUAAACAACAUUGGUAAAAAUUUAUCAAUGUCUAAAUGUUAAAUCAGUCCUUGUCCUCACUAGCUUUCUAAAUAGUUCUAAUUUUUAAUGUUUUUAUGUUACAAUAUAUAACAGUUUGUAAUGUAGUGGUAAGGAGGAAUGAGAAAACUUAGGAAGUCUUAUGUGGUGCACUGAAUUUUAGUUUAGCUGUCUUAUAAUUUCUGAGCUACGUAAUUGUACCUUUAGAUGAGAGAUGCCAAAGUAAAAAUGAGUGGUUUAGCUCAAUCCUUAAAGUUCUGGUUCUGUUUCCAUAAGUGUAAGGUUCAUCUGUGUUGGUGUGAGGCUUAUUUUGGUGCUUAGUAUUCAGCUGUUUAAAGUGAGAUCAAUAA